UCCGUAGGUGAACCUGCGGAAGGAUCAUUAUUGAAAGCACUUGAAGUUGUUGCUGGCUCCUUGGAGCAUGUGCACGCUUCAUGAUGACAACCACCUGUGCACCUUUUGUAGAUUGUUCUGAGCUCAAUUUCAGAGGAAACUCUGGUUUGGGUGCUGCUAUAGCACCUGUGGGCUCUGCAUGAUCUAUGCUUUUUUACAAACACCUUAAUGUAUGUCAAUGAAUGUGGUCUAAUAAACCUAAUACAACUUUCAACAACGGAUCUCUUGGCUCUCGCAUCGAUGAAGAACGCAGCGAAAUGCGAUAAGUAAUGUGAAUUGCAGAAUUCAGUGAAUCAUCAAAUCUUUGAACGCACCUUGCGCCCCUUGGUAUUCCGAGGGGCAUGCCUGUUUGAGUGUCAUUAAAUUCUCAACCCCAACAUGUUUGGGGCUUGGAUUGCUGGGGGUUUGCUGGCUUUCACAAGUCGGCUCCUCUUAAAUGCAUUAGCAAGACCUUUUGUCUCAGCCUUUGGGUGUGAUAAACAUCUACGCCUGGCAUGAAUGAGAUAGAAAGUCCGGCUCUCUAACCGUCCUUUUCAAGGACAAUUCAUUGACCAUUUGACCUCAAAUCAGGUAGGACUACCCGCUGAACUUAAGCAUAUCAAUAAGCGGAGGA
rnacentral:rRNA from 1 species